AGCGAACGUUGGCGGCGUGGUUUAGGCAUGCAAGUCGAACGGGGUUGAUUUCUUCGGAAUGAAAACCUAGUGGCGAAAGGGUGAGUAAUACAUCGAUCAUCUACCCUCGGGUCCGGGACAACAGCUGGAAACGGCUGCUAAUACCGGAUUGUCCAGGAAUGGUAAAGGUGGGGACCUUCGGGCCUGCCGCCUGAGGAGGAGUCGAUGGCCUAUCAGCUUGUUGGCGGGGUAAAAGCCCACCAAGGCUAAGACGGGUAGCCGGACUGAGAGGUUGGCCGGUCACACUGGGACUGAGACACUGCCCAG
rnacentral:rRNA from 1 species